UGGGGAAUAUUGGACAAUGGGGGAAACCCUGAUCCAGCGACGCCGCGUGUGUGAAGAAGGCCUGCGGGUUGUAAAGCACUUUUAGUGGGGACGAAAAGCCAGGGGCUAACACCAUCUGGUCUUGAUUUAACCCACAGAAAAAGCACCGGCUAACUCUGUGCCAGCAGCCGCGGUAAUACAGAGGGUGCAAGCGUUAAUCGGAAUUACUGGGCGUAAAGCGCGCGUAGACGGUUUUGUAAGUCAGAUGUGAAAUCCCCGGGCUCAACCUGGGAACUGCAUUUGAUACUGCGUGGCUAGAGUACGGUAGAGGGAAGUGGAAUUUCCGGUGUAGCGGUGAAAUGCGUAGAUAUCGGAAGGAACACCAGUGGCGAAAGCGACUUCCUGGACCAGUACUGACGUUCAUGUGCGAAAGCGUGGGGAGCAAACA
rnacentral:rRNA from 1 species